CCUCUCCAGACCCGGACGCGGACGCGGAGCCGCUCGGCUCGAGAUGAGCGACGAUGACGCCUCCCUUAUGGCUGCAAUCAUUUACUACAGCCAGGAAAAGUACUUCCGCCAUGUGCAGCACACCGCAGCCAUGGGUCUGGAGAAAUUCGGCCAGGACCCCGCGCUCCAGUUCUUUAAAGCCUACGGAGUCCUCAGGGAAGAGCGCAUGCAGGACGCCAUCAACGACCUGGAGAGCAUCCGGAAGCACCCAGACACGGCCCUGUGCGCCACCUUGGCCCUCAUCUACGCUCACAAGAACUGUGAGAUCGUCGAUGGAGAAGCUCUCCAGGAGCUCGAGAGGAGCCUGAAGGAAGUCCGGAAGGCUCCGGGAGAGAUGGCCCUGUACUACGCUGGGCUCUUCCUCUGGCUCGUGGGCCGCCAUGACAAAGCCAAGGAGUGCGUGGACCGCAUGCUGAAAGUCUCCGUGGGCUCCAGAGAGGGCUACGUGCUCAGAGGCUGGAUAGACCUUACCUCAGACAAUCCAAACACGGUGAAGAAAUCCAUCAGGUACCUGGAGCAAGGAAUCCAGGACACCAGAGAUGUACUGGGGGUGAUGGGCAAGGCAACCUACCUCCUGCUGCAGCAGAACUACUCAGGGGCGCUGGAGGUGGUGAGCCAGCUCACCGUGGCCUCCCCAGGCUUCCUGCCAGCCCUUGUCCUAAAGAUGCGGCUGUUCUUGGCCAAGCAGGACUGGGAGCAGACCAUAGAAACAGCACAAAGAAUCCUGGAGAAAGAUGAAACUAACAUUGACGCCUGCCAGAUUCUAGCGGUGCACGAGCUGGCCAGAGAAGGAAACAUGACCAGAGCGGUUGAGCACAUCAGAAACCUGAUGAAGGCGCUGGAGAUGAGAGAGCCCCAAAAUCCAAGCCUCCACCUUAAAAAAAUCCUCGUGGUUAGCAGACUGUGCGGAAGACAGCAGCCGAUCCUACGGCUGGUGUGCAGCUUCAUCGAGCGUACCUUCGUGGCCACACCCUCCCACGGCCACGUGGCCACAGAGCUGGGCUACCUCUUCAUCCUGCAGGACCAACUCAAGGAGGCCGAGCUGUGGUACUCGGAGGCCGUGAAGCUGGAUGCGAAUAACAUUGCCGCCCUGAAAGGGAUCAUCUGGUGCCUGCUCCUGGAAGGCCACCUGGAGGAGGCGGAGCAGCAGCUGGAGUUCCUGAAGGAAGUGCAGCAGUCCCUCGGGAGGUCUGAGGUGCUGGCCUUCCUGCAGGCCCUGCUGGUAUCCCGGAAGCACAAGGCGGAGCAGGAGGCCACAGCACUCCUGAAGGAAGCAGCUGAGCUGCAUUUCUCCAGCAUGCAGGGCCUUCCCCUGAGCCCCGAGUAUUUCGAGCAGCUGAACCCCUUCUUCCUGGUCUUCAUUGUCCGGGAGCACUUGCUCUUUUGCCCCAAGCAGCCCCGGUCACCAGGCCAGAUCGUGUCUCCACUUCUUAAGCAAGCUGCCAUGAUCCUGAGCCCUGUGAUCAAAGCGGCCCCUGGGCUGACCGAGCCCCUCUAUCUGUCUGCUCAAGUCAAGUACCUCUCAGGAGAGCUGGAAAAUGCCCAGAGCAUCCUGCAGCGUUGCCUGGAGCUAGACCCGACCUCCACCGAUACCCACCUGCUCCUGGCGCAGAUCUACCUGGCUCAGGGCAACUUUGCCCUGUGUUCCCACUGCUUGGAGAUGGGCGUCAGCCACAACUUCCAGGUCCGGGACCACCCCCUCUACCACUUCAUCAAGGCCAGAGCCCUCAACAAGUCUGGGGACUAUCCCGAGGCUAUCAAAGCCCUGAAAAUGAUCGUCAAGUUACCCAUUCAGAGGGUGGAGGAAGUCAGGAAGUCCCGAGGCCCCUCCGUGGGGCCCAGCGAGCGCGUGGCCAUCCUCCUGGAACUGGCUGAUGCCCUCCGGCUGAAUGGGGAGCUGCACGAGGCCACCAAAGUCAUUCAGGAUGCCAUCAACGAGUUCAGUGGCACCCAGGAAGAGAUCCGCAUCACCCUAGCCAAUGUGGACUUGGCCCUGAGCAAGGGGAAUGUGGACGCGGCGCUGAGCAUGCUGCGGAACGUCACCCCCAGGCAGCCCUGCUACACGGAGGCCAAGGAGAAGAUGGCCAGCAUCUACCUGCAGACCCGCAAAGACGUCCGCCUGUAUAUAGGGUGCUACCGGGAGCUCUGUGAAAACCUGCCCGGCCCCCACACCAGCCUGCUCCUGGGGGAUGCCUUCAUGCACAUUCAAGAGCCCGAGAAGGCCUUGGAGGUGUACGAUGAGGCGUACAGGAAGAAUCCGCACGACGCCUCCCUGGUCAGCAGGAUCGGGCAGGCCUACAUGAAGACACACCAGUAUGGCAAGGCUGUCAAUUAUUACGAAGCUGCUCAGAAGAUCGGCGCACAGGACUUCCUGUGCUGCGACCUGGCUGAGCUGUUCCUGAAACUAAAGAAGUUCGCCAAGGCAGAGAGGGUCCUGAAGCAGGCGCUGGAACAUGACUUUGCCAACGACCUUCCUUCGAUGAUGACUGUUGUCAAGUGCCUCCUCCUGCUGGCAAAGGUGUACAAGCACAACAAAAGGGAAGAGGUGAUGGAAACUUUGAACAAGGCCUUGGACCUCCAGUCCCGGAUACUAAAGCGGGCUCCCCUGGAGCAGCCAGAAAUGAUCCCCUUGCAUAAGCAACUGGCAGCCUCCAUCUGCGUCCAGUUUGGGGAGUUCCACUUCACGGAGCAGGAGUACUCCCAGGCGGUGCGGGCUUACCAGGACGCCCUCUCCUACUCACCCACCGACAACAAGGUGGUGCUGGAGCUGGCGAGGCUCUGCCUGCUGCAGGGGCAGCUGGACUUGUGCGAACAGCACUGUGCCAUCCUCCUGCAGACGGAGAAGGACGAUGAGGCGGCCUUGGUGAUGAUGGCCGACCUGAUGUUUAGAAAGCAGAAUUACGACGGUGCCAAGGGUCUCUACCAGCAGGUCCUGGAAAAAACACCAGAUAAUUUUCUAGUACUGAAUAAAUUAAUUGAUCUGUUACGAAGAAGCGGCAAACUUGAAGAAGCGCCCCCCUUGUUCGAACGGGCCCAGAAGAUAUCCAGCCGCAUGCCUUUGGAGCCAGGGUUCAACUACUGCAAGGGUAUCUCCUGCUGGCACUUAGGGAAGCCCAACGAAGCCCUGAAAUUCCUGAACAAGGCCCGCAAGGACAGCACUUGGGGACAGAGUGCCAUCCACCACAUGGUGCAGAUCUGCCUGAACCCGGACAAAGAGAUCGUGGGCGGGGAGGCUUUAGAGAACCUAAUGGCGGAGAACACGACGUCCGAGAAGAAGGACCCGGAACAGCACGGUGGCGUGCGCACGGCGGAGAAGCUGCUGCGUGAAUGCUACCCGCACUCUGCCAUGGGCCAGGCCCAGCAACGGCUGCUGCAGGGCCUUUGCCUAAUGGCCACGAGGGAGAGGGGCAACGUGGAGGAGGCGCUGAACACCUUCAUCCACAUGGCCCAGGCUGAGAAGAACAACGCGGCCGCCCUGCUGGCCAUGGCACAGGCCUACAGUCUCCUGAAGCAGGUGCCCAAGGCGCGCACGCAGCUGAAACGUCAGGCCAAGGCCCCGUGGACGCCGGCGGAGGCAGAGGACCUGGAGAAGAGCUGGCUCCUGCUGGCAGACAUCUACUGCCAGGGCGGCAAGUUCGACCUCGCCUCCGAGCUGCUGCGGCGCUGCGUGCAGUACAACAAGUCCUGCUGCAAGGCCUAUGAGUACAUGGGCUUCAUCAUGGAGAAGGAGCAGUCUUACAAGGAUGCUGCCGCCAACUACGAGCUGGCCUGGAAGCACAGCCAUCACACUAACCCCUCUGUGGGCUUCAAACUCGCUUUCAACUACCUGAAGGACAAGAGAUUCGUGGAAGCCAUUGACGUCUGUCACCGCGUUCUCAGGGAGUACCCCAACUACCCCAAGAUCAGAGAAGAAAUUUUGGAAAAGGCCCAAGGAUCUUUGAGGCCUUAGCGGUUGUCCGUGGCCAGGAGGUUCGGCAGCCUCUGGGGUCAGAGAGGGCUUGGCUGGAGGCUGUCAGCCUGCAGAAUAUCUUGGAACUAAAGAAGCCACCAGGCUGUCCUCGCUGGCUGCGGGCCCAGGAGGUUGUGGGCCCUGGGCCCAGACAAGGAGGGCCAGAUGCAGAAGGCCCUGUGGAUGGGCCCCAUGUGUGAGCAUGCCCAUCCCCCUGCAGGUUGCCAAGACCACUGCCCCACCCUCCAGACACCGUCUGUCUGCCCCAAGUCUUUAGCCGACCACCACUGGUCCUCACUGGUUUGGGGGCCACCCUGGUGACACUUGUCUGGUGCAAGGAAAUAUAUUCCAAGAAAAACGACUCCCUGCUUGAGCUCUUGCAGCAGAUACAGGCCCGAAAAUUCAUUCUCCAGAAACCCUUUUAUACCAUCUACAAGGGGAGCAAGCAGGAGGAGCCCUGGUGGCAGAGUGGGUUGCUUGUUGUGCUAUGAUCCGCAAGGUCGGCAGGUCAAAACCACCAGCCUCUCCGAGGGAGA